rnacentral:rRNA from 1 species
CCUACGGGUGGCAGCAGUGAGGAAUAUUGGUCAAUGGCCGAGAGGCUGAACCAGCCAAGUCGCGUGAGGGAAGAAUGUCCUAUGGAUUGUAAACCUCUUUUGUCAGGGGGCAAAGUCACCCACGUGUGGGUGUUUGCGAGUACCUUAAGAACAAGCAUCGGCUAACUCCGUGCCAGCAGCCGCGGUAAUCCGGGGGAUGCGAGCGUUAUCCGUAUUUAUUGGGUUGAAAGGGUGCGUAGGCGGGUUAUCAAGUCAGCGGUAAAAUCGUGGAGCUCAACUCCAUCCAGCCGUUGAACCUGAUGAUCUGGAGUGGGCGAGAAGUAUGCAGAAUGCGUGGUGUAGCGGUGAAAUGCAUAGAUAUCACGCAGAACUCCGAUUGCGAAGGCAGCAUACCGGCGCCCGACUGACGCUGAAGCACGAAAGCGUGGGUAUCGAACAGGAUUAGAUACCCCUGUAGUC